AGAGUUUGAUUAUGGCUCAGAACGAACGCUGGCGGCAUGGAUUAGGCAUGCAAGUCGAACGAAGCAGCAAUGCUUAGUGGCGCAAGGGUGAGGAACACGUGAGUGACCUACCCGCAAGUUUGGAACAGCUCCUGGAAACGGGAAUUAAUACCGGAUGUGAUCAUAUUACUGCAUGGUGAUAUGAUUAAAGCAGCAAUGCGCUUGCGGAUGGGCUCGCGUCCCAUUAGCUAGUUGGUGAGGUAACGGCCCACCAAGGCCAUGAUGGGUAGCUGGUCUGAGAGGACGACCAGCCACACUGGGACUGAGAACUGCCCAGACUCCUACGGGAGGCUGCAGUCGAGAAUUUUGGGCAAUGGACGAAAGUCCUGACCCAGCAAUGCCGCGUGCGGGAUGAAGGUCUUCGGAUUGUAAACCGCUGUUUGGAGGGACGAAAAUUGACGGUACUUCCAGAGGAAGCCACGGCUAACUACGUGCCAGCCGCCGC
rnacentral:rRNA from 1 species